rnacentral:rRNA from 1 species
AUUGCCUCAGUAACGGCGAGUGAAGCGGCAAGAGCUCAAAUUUGAAAGCUGGCCCCUUCGGGGUCCGCGUUGUAAUUUGCAGAGGAUGCUUCGGGUGCAGCCCCCGUCUAAGUGCCCUGGAACGGGCCGUCAUAGAGGGUGAGAAUCCCGUCUGGGACGGGGUGUCUGCGUCCGUGUGAAGCUCCUUCGACGAGUCGAGUUGUUUGGGAAUGCAGCUCUAAAUGGGUGGUAAAUUUCAUCUAAAGCUAAAUACUGGCCGGAGACCGAUAGCGCACAAGUAGAGUGAUCGAAAGAUGAAAAGCACUUUGAAAAGAGAGUUAAACAGCACGUGAAAUUGUUGAAAGGGAAGCGUUUGCGACCAGACUCGCCCGCGGGGUUCAGCCGGCAUUCGUGCCGGUGUACUUCCCCGUGGGCGGGCCAGCGUCGGUUUGGGCGGCCGGUCAAAGGCCCUCGGAAUGUAUCACCUCUCGGGGUGUCUUAUAGCCGAGGGUGCAAUGCGGCCUGCCUGGACCGAGGAACGCGCUUCGGCUCGGACGCUGGCG